UGGAAUGAGUUAAGACUUUGGAGGACUGUUGAGAAGGCAUAAUUAUACUUUGCAAUCUUCCUGAGGUCUUCCAAGAAAUCGAGCAGAUGCCAGCACUACGCUUCCUGUAAAGCCUACAAAACUAAAAGGAGAUGACUGAGUGGCCCAGAUGGAAAGCAGAAAUGCAGACAGAGGCCUGUGGAAGAAGAAUCUUAAAAUAACUAAGCAACUUCAAGAAAACAAGUGAGGAUUUAUUGGAAACAACUGCCUUGAAAGAAGAAAAAAACACUCCAACUUGGUAAGAAAGA